GGCUAAAUGCAGUCGAGGGGCAGCACAUGAGGUAGCAAUACCGAUGGUGGCGACCGGNGNACGGGUGAGUAACACGUAUGCAACCUGCCUCCAACAAGGGGAUAACCCGUUGAAAGACGGACUAAUACCCUAUAACACAGGGCUCCCGCAUGGGAAUAUUUGUUAAAGAUUAAUCGGUUGGAGAUGGGCAUGCGUUCCAUUAGCUAGUUGGCGGGGUAACGGCCCACCAAGGCAACGAUGGAUAGGGGAACUGAGAGGUUUAUCCCCCACACUGGUACUGAGACACGGACCAGACUCCUACGGGAGGCAGCAGUGAGGAAUAUUGGUCAAUGGGCGCAAGCCUGAACCAGCCACGUCGCGUGAAGGAAGACGGCCCUACGGGUUGUAAACUUCUUUUGUACAGGAAUAAAGUGCCCCACGUGUGGGGUUUUGCAUGUACUGUACGAAUAAGGAUCGGCUAACUCCGUGCCAGCAGCCGCGGUAAUACGGAGGAUCCGAGCGUUAUCCGGAUUUAUUGGGUUUAAAGGGUGCUCAGGCGGGGGAUUAAGUCGGCGGUGAAAUUUUGCGGCUCAACCGUAAAAGUGCCUUCGAAACUGGUUUCCUUGAGUGUGGAUGAGGUAGGCGGAAUUUGUGGUGUAGCGGUGAAAUGCAUAGAUAUCACGAGGAACUCCCGAUUGCNCANGCAGCCUUACUAAGCCCAUAACUGACNCUCAAGCACCNAAGGCGUGGGGAUCAAACAGGAUUAGAUACCCUGGUAGUCCACCCAGUAAACGAUGAUUACUGGCUGUUUGCCAUAUACNGUAAGCNGCUGAGCNAAAGCGUUAAGUNAUCCCNCCUGGGGANGUACGUNNCCCCAGAAUGAAAACUCAAANNGAAUUGACCGGGGGGCCCC
rnacentral:rRNA from 1 species